GUGUCUGUUCAGAUCACCAGGGGGAGCUGCAGCGAGCAUGGAAUUGGGUGGAUGUCGUGAAGCAUUUGAGCAAAACCGGCUGCAAGGACGAGGAGUGACCCGAGUUUAUGGAU